GCAAUGUUGCUUAUUGGAGUCACCUCACGCGUCUGUCCAGUUUCCCAUGCCCCUUGAGGGCCGACGUGCAAAGAACACAGGUGGGCAGGCUCGCACGCAACCGUGCGCACCCGCGCAGACGGCGACGUGGAAGCAGGGAAGUGGACCAGGGGUUAGGGGACGCACCUGCUAGAUGGGGUGUCGUGUUGCGCGCUGAGCGUCCCGCCAGCCCGCGAGGCGGUGACCCAGAGGUGGGAAGAGAGUGUGUGGUAACAUGAGUACCGACCCAGACGGCCUCUGGGCAGGCUCAGGCCCACGUGUCUCGACGUCGGUCUCCGGGCCUGUGGGGCAGGCCGCACACAGAGAACACAUGUUUUUCUUUCAUCAUCAAAGGAGGAAGCAACCUAGUUCCCCUCAAAUUCUACAAAGUGUUUCACACGAGACUGUAAGGGGCCUUGAGCAGAGGGGCCCAGGGCCCCAGGUCGCAGAGCGAACCAGGCAAGGGCUGGCAUCUCUGGGGGCAUCCCCGGGAGCCUAGGCAGCGCGUAAUCCACAUCCCCGGAACCGCCAAGGAGAAGCUGCGCAGAGGCCACUUAGCGGCAUCGUGCCUGGUGGCCGCAGAUCCCGAUGCGCAGUUUUCUGCAAAGGGACCAACCUUGGGGAAGCAAGGCUCCGAGGCGGCGGGCAAGCACACGGCGGCUGUCGGGACCGACGGGCUCUCCUGCCGUGGUUGAGGAAGCAGGCGUGAGACCGCUGUCCUGCCUGCCGGCACGCACGGCCCUGGCCUUUUUUCCAAAAGCAGGGAAGCAGGAUCGCAGGUCCUGCCCUGCAAACUGAAAGGUUGUCGGUUCGAUGCCCCAUAAAGGCACACGCUCGGGGGGCGGAUUUGGUCCCCAGUCGGGGCAGAUGAAAAAAGUCCUCCGAGGGAAACGUUUUGCCUGUGGAAGAGGGGAAACAAGAAACGGCAGAAGCACUCAAAGGCACCAAAAUCCAUGAGUUCAAAACCUGUUUUGAGCAGUGGGAAAAAACAUCUCGAUGGGUGUAUGCCCUCAAAUGCUGAACUCUUGUUAUGAAACACCUGCUCUGACUGGGGCGGCCCAGUGGGGUGGGCAUUGUCCUGCAAACCGAAAGCUCACCAGUUGGAUGCCUGAUUCCCGGGCAGGACACAGGCCUGGGUCGGGGCCCAGGGCCCCGGCUGGAGGCGUGUGAGAGGCAACCGAUCAAUGUUUUUCUCCCUUUCUUUCUCCCCCCACCAUCC